ACAUGCAAGUCGAACGAAGUAGCAAUACUUAGUGGCAGACGGGUGAGUAACAUGUAGGUAUCUGCCCUUUGGCCUGGAAUAACACGAGGAAACUUGUGCUAAUACCGGAUAAGUCUUUACGGAGAAAGCUUUAUGCACCAUUGGAUGAGCCUGCACUUGAUUAGUUUGUUGGUAGGGUAAUGGCCUACCAAGACUGUGAUCAAUAGCUGAUUUGAGAGGAUGAUCAGCCACAUUGGGACUGAGACACGGCCCAAACUCCUACGGGAGGCAGCAGUGGGGAAUCUUGCACAAUGGAGGAAACUCUGAUGCAGCGAUGCCGCGUGAGUGAAGAAGGCCUUUGGGUUGUAAAGCUCUUUCGUCGGGGAAGAAAAUGACUGUACCCGAAUAAGAAGGUCCGGCUAA
rnacentral:rRNA from 1 species